AAAAAAAAUUUAUAAUAUAAAAACUUAGAAAGGUUAGCUCCCCUUACCUCUUCUCUAGACUUAGUUUCCUAUUCAGAAGUUGUUCUCCCGAAAAUCUUUCAGAACCUCUACUCUUCUAAAAUUUUCUUCCCAACUCUUUUCUUCUCUAUUUUUUUUUCAAGAUUUCUCACUUGAUUCUUCCUCUCUUUGUGCAGAAUAAACUCCCCUC
rnacentral:lncRNA from 1 species